rnacentral:rRNA from 1 species
ACCGGGGGAACUGAAACAUCUAAGUACCCCGAGGAAAAGAAAUCAACCGAGAUUCCCCCAGUAGCGGCGAGCGAACGGGGAGCAGCCCAGAGCCUGAAUCAGUGUGUGUGUUAGUGGAAGCGUCUGGAAAGGCGCGCGAUACAGGGUGACAGCCCCGUACACAAAAAUGCACAUGCUGUGAGCUCGAUGAGUAGGGCGGGACACGUGGUAUCCUGUCUGAAUAUGGGGGGACCAUCCUCCAAGGCUAAAUACUCCUGACUGACCGAUAGUGAACCAGUACCGUGAGGGAAAGGCGAAAAGAACCCCGGCGAGGGGAGUGAAAAAGAACCUGAAACCGUGUACGUACAAGCAGUGGGAGCACGCUUAGGCGUGUGACUGCGUACCUUUUGUAUAAUGGGUCAGCGACUUAUAUUCUGUAGCAAGGUUAACCGAAUAGGGGAGCCGAAGGGAAACCGAGUCUUAACUGGGCGUUAAGUUGCAGGGUAUAGACCCGAAACCCGGUGAUCUAGCCAUGGGCAGGUUGAAGGUUGGGUAACACUAACUGGAGGACCGAACCGACUAAUGUUGAAAAAUUAGCGGAUGACUUGUGGCUGGGGGUGAAAGGCCAAUCAAACCGGGAGAUAGCUGGUUCUCCCCGAAAGCUAUUUAGGUAGCGCCUCGUGAAUUCAUCUCCGGGGGUAGAGCACUGUUUCGGCAAGGGGGUCAUCCCGACUUACCAACCCGAUGCAAACUGCGAAUACCGGAGAAUGUUAUCACGGGAGACACACGGCGGGUGCUAACGUCCGUCGUGAAGAGGGAAACAACCCAGACCGCCAGCUAAGGUCCCAAAGUCAUGGUUAAGUGGGAAACGAUGUGGGAAGGCCCAGACAGCCAGGAUGUUGGCUUAGAAGCAGCCAUCAUUUAAAGAAAGCGUAAUAGCUCACUGGUCGAGUCGGCCUGCGCGGAAGAUGUAACGGGGCUAAACCAUG